UACGGGGGGGGCAAGCGUUGUUCGGAAUUACUGGGCGUAAAGGGCUCGUAGGCGGCCAACUAAGUCAGACGUGAAAUCCCCAGGCUCAACCUGGGAACUGCGUCUGAUACUGGAUGGCUUGAAUCCGGGAGAGGGAUGCAGAAUUCCAGGUGUAGCGGUGAAAUGCGUAGAUAUCUGGAGGAAUACCGGUGGCGAAGGCGGCAUCCUGGACCGGCAUUGACGCUGAGGAGCGAAAGCUAGGGGAGCAAAGCGGG
rnacentral:rRNA from 1 species